AUUGAACGCUGGCGGCAUGCCUUACACAUGCAAGUCGAACGGUAGCGCGGGGCAACCUGGCGACGAGUGGCGAACGGGUGAGUAAUGCAUCGGAACGUGCCCUGGAAUGGGGGAUAACGUAGCGAAAGUUACGCUAAUACCGCAUAUUCUGUGAGCAGGAAAGCAGGGGAUCGCAAGACCUUGCGUUCUGGGAGCGGCCGAUGUCGGAUUAGCUAGUUGGUGGGGUAAAGGCCUACCAAGGCGACGAUCCGUAGCGGGUCUGAGAGGAUGAUCCGCCACACUGGGACUGAGACACGGCCCAGACUCCUACGGGAGGCAGCAGUGGGGAAUUUUGGACAAUGGGCGGAAGCCUGAUCCAGCCAUGCCGCGUGAGUGAAGAAGGCCUUCGGGUUGUAAAGCUCUUUCGGUGGGGAAGAAAUUGCACGGGCUAAUAUCCUGUGUAGAUGACGGUACCCGACUAAGAAGCACCGGCUAACUACGUGCCGGCAGCCGCGGUAAUACGUAGGGUGCGAGCGUUAAUCGGAAUUACUGGGCGUAAAGCGUGCGCAGGCGGUUUGGUAAGUCAGAUGUGAAAGCCCCGGGCUCAACCUGGGAACUGCAUUUGAGACUGCCAGGCUGGAGUGUGGCAGAGGGGGGUGGAAUUCCACGUGUAGCAGUGAAAUGCGUAGAGAUGUGGAGGAACACCGAUGGCGAUGCAGCCCCUGGGUCACUACUGACGCUCAUGCAGAAAGCGUGGGGGAGCAACAGGAUAGAUACCCGGUAGUCCACGCCUAAACGAUGUCACUAGGUGUUGGAGGGUUAAACUUUUAGUGCGUAGCUAACGCGUGAAGUUGACCGCCUGGGAGUACGGCCGCAAGGCUAAAACUCAAAGGAAUUGACGGGGACCCGCACAAGCGGUGGAUGAUGUGGAUUAAUUCGAUGCAACGCGAAAAACCUUUACCUACCCUUGACAUGUCAGGGAUCCUGGAGAGAUUCGGGAGUGCUCGCAAGAGAACCUGAACACAGGUGCUGCAUGGCUGUCGUCAGCUCGUGUCGUGAGAUGUUGGGUUAAGUCCCGCAACGAGCGCAACCCUUGUCAUUAAUUGCCAUCAUUGAGUUGGGCACUUUAAUGAGACUGCCGGUGACAAACCGGAGGAAGGUGGGGAUGACGUCAAGUCCUCAUGGCCCUUAUGGGUAGGGCUUCACACGUCAUACAAUGGUCGGUUCAGAGGGUUGCCAACCCGCGAGGGGGAGCCAAUCUCAGAAAGCCGAUCGUAGUCCGGAUCGCAGUCUGCAACUCGACUGCGUGAAGUCGGAAUCGCUAGUAAUCGCGGAUCAGCACGUCGCGGUGAAUACGUUCCCGGGUCUUGUACACACCGCCCGUCACACCAUGGGAGCGGGUUCUGCCAGAAGUAGUUAGCCUAACCGCAAGGAGGGCGAUUACCACGGCAGGGUUCGUGACUGGGGUG
rnacentral:rRNA from 1 species